rnacentral:rRNA from 1 species
CGCGUAGGUGGUAGUGCAAGUCUGAGGUGGAAUCUUAGGGCUUAACCCUAAAAUUGCCUUGGAAACUGCAUUACUUGAGUCAGUGAGGGGAGGGUAGAAUUCCUGGUGUAGCGGUGAAAUGCGUAGAUAUCAGGAGGAAGGCCGGUGGCGAAGGCGGCCCUCUGGCGCUGAACUGACACUGAGGCGCGAAAGCGUGGGUAGCAAACAGGAUUAGAUACCCUGGUAGUCCACGCCCUAAACGGUGGGCACUAGGUGUAGGGCUCGUAAGGGUUCUGUGCCGAAGCGAAAGCAUUAAGUGCCCCGCCUGGGGAGUACGGCCGCAAGGUUGAA